GCCUAAUACAUGCAAGUCGAACGGUGUUUGACCCGGCGGAAGCUUCGGAGGAAGCGGUGGAGCCUAGUGGCGGACGGGUGAGUAACGCGUGGGCAACCUGCCCUCCAGCCCGGGAUAACUUCCGGAAACGGGAGCUAAUCCCGGAUGCGGAGCAAAGGACGCAUGUUUUUGCUCGAAAGCUUCGGCGCUGGAGGAUGGGCCCGCGUCCCAUUAGCUAGUUGGUGAGGUAACGGCUCACCAAGGCGACGAUGGGUAGCCGGCCUGAGAGGGUGAACGGCCACACUGGGACUGAGACACGGCCCAGACUCCUACGGGAGGCAGCAGUAGGGAAUCUUGCGCAAUGGGCGAAAGCCUGACGCAGCGACGCCGCGUGAGGGAAGAAGGCCUAAAGGUCGUAAACCUCUGUCCUUAGGGACGAUGAUGACGGUACCCAAGGGAGGAAGCCCCGGCUAACUACG
rnacentral:rRNA from 1 species